rnacentral:rRNA from 1 species
GAUGAACGCUGGCGGCGUGCUUAACACAUGCAAGUCGAACGAAGCACUUUAUUUGAUUUCCUUCGGGACUGAUUAUUUUGUGACUGAGUGGCGGACGGGUGAGUAACGCGUGGGUAACCUGCCUUGUACAGGGGGAUAACAGUUGGAAACGGCUGCUAAUACCGCAUAAGCGCACAGCAUCGCAUGAUGCUGUGCGAAAAACUCCGGUGGUAUAAGAUGGACCCGCGUUGGAUUAGCUAGUUGGUGAGGUAACGGCCCACCAAGGCGACGAUCCAUAGCCGGCCUGUGAGGGUGACCGGCCACAUUGAGACUGAGACACGGCCCAGACUCCUACGGGAGGCAGCAGUGGGGGAUAUUGCACAAUGGGCGAAAGGCUGAUGCAGCGACGCCGCGUGAGCGAAGAAGUAUUUCGGUAUGUAAAGCUCUAUCAGCAGGGAAGAUAAUGACGGUACCUGACUAAGAAGCACCGGCUAAAUACGUG